rnacentral:lncRNA from 1 species
UAUGCAACAUUCCUGUGUUGUUGUUUUUUGUUUUUUUUAUCAUAAUCAAAGUACAUUAAUAUGAAGAAACUUCACGAAUUCUUCUCAACGUUUUAAAUAUUUGACCAAUGGAGGCUGCUGUAAGAGGUCUGAAAGCUUGCAAUUAAAAGAAAUUUUAAAACGUAGGGAAGAGUGCGCGUAUUUUUUACACGCAAUAUUCCUAUUUGUUUCCAAACGGAGAAGUUAAGAAUGUAAAUAUUCAUGGCUCAAUCCAUGUGGUGGAUACAUCGCAGAUAAUCCAUGGUGUAGCUGUGUGCUUAAACAAAAAUAUGAAAUUAUUGAUAGAACCCUACGUUAUGUGAAGAAAUGGUAGAAAACACAGUUUUAUUAUAAAGAAUGUGAGUUUUGUUGGGUUACUCUCCCUGGAGAACUGUUGUUACAAGGAUUUUAUUUGAGAAGUAUGGAUUUUCUCUUUACCAAAAUCACCAUCAAAAUAACAGAAAGCAUACUUUACUGGAAUUAAUAAGUAUACAAAUGAGUACUGUAAAUAACAUUCAGAACUUUUGGUUUUGCAAACUAAAAGACAAAAGUAAGUAAGUUUGAAGAGGAAUUUUUAAGUUUUUUUUUUUUUUUAAUUGGAACUUAUAUUUGUAACCAGCACCUAUAUAAAUAAUAAGACAGGUAAAAAUAUUGGGCAAAACUGAUGUUGAAACAUUUGCUAACUGUUAGAUAAUACUAGAUAUUAAAAAGAAGACAUCAUCAUGUUAUUUCUACACAAUAAUAGGUCUAGGAGAGAUCUCUUUGUGUAACUGCUAGAUACUGAAGGAGAGAUCUCUUUGUGUAACUGCUAGAUGAUAUACUAGAUGUUGAAGGAGAGAUCUCUUUGUGUAACUGCUAGAUGAUAUACUAGAUGUUGAAGGAGAGAUCUCUUUGUGUAACUACUAGAUGUUGAAGGAGAGAUCUCUUUGUGUAACUGCUAGAUGUUGAAGGAGAGAUCUCUUUGUGUAACUGCUAGAUAUUGAAGGAGAGAUCUCUUUGUGUAACUGCUAGAUAUUGAAGGAGAGAUCUCUUUGUGUAACUGCUAGAUAUUGAAGGAGAGAUUUCUUUGUGUAACUGCUAGAUGUUGAAGGAGAGAUCUCUUUGUGUAACUGCUAGAUGAUAUACUAGAUGUUGAAGGAGAGAUCUCCUUGUGUAACUGCUAGAUGUUGAAGGAGAGAUCUCAUCAUGGAACUGCUACAUGAUACUGUAUUGUAAUAUUGUUUUAAACAAUUUAUAAAACUAAAAUAUCAGAAUGCUGUAAGAAACUAUAGUAACUAUAUUUCUUAAUAAUGUGUCUGACCCUUUUUAUAAAUAGAUUAGUUGUAUUUAUUGACUUUAUAAAGUUUAUUAGUUUCAUUGUCUUAAUAUCCAGUGUAUUGUUUAAAAAAUAAACAAGUUGGGCUACUGUAGGACAUAUAUUGCUCUAGCAGGGUAAAAGUUAUCUAUCUGUACACAUUAAGAAGUAUUGCAUUGUGUCAGUAAGUACAAGUAAAUUUUGUUAUAUUUAAUAAUAAUUAAACUAGGCUUGUGUUAGUAUGUUGUCAAACAUCAUGACAAUAUUUAAUACAGAGUUUAGUUCUAUAGCUUUAAUGACAUUUAAUACUUUCAAUUUCUAGACCAAACAACGUAGACAAUCCAGAAAUUCAAAUUUUACUAGACAUUGAAGAAAGAGGGAGACUGGAUGUUCAACAAAAUGAAAAUUUUAUAUAUGGUGUUCAAAAUGGCAAGACACAGCAAUCAUGACAUUCAGAUUUUGAAUAAUGUUAGCUAUGAAAGUAUAGCAGAGUUGUCUGUUAACAGUGGUUAAAACUUGUGACAGGAGAAGCAGCAGAGUUGUUUGUUAACAGUGGUUAAAACUUGUGACAGGAGAAGCAGCAGAGUUGUCUGUUAACAGUGGUUAAACCUUGUGACAGGAGAAGCAGCAGAGUUGUCUGUUAACAGUGGUUAAACCUUGUGACAGGAGAAGCAGCAGAGUUGUUUGUUAACAGUGGUUAAAACUUGUGACAGGAGAAG